rnacentral:rRNA from 1 species
GACGAACGCUGGCGGCGUGCUUAACACAUGCAAGUCGAACGGAAAGGCCCUGCUUUUGUGGGGUGCUCGAGUGGCGAACGGGUGAGUAACACGUGUGUAACCUGCCCUUGACUUUGGGAUAACUUCAGGAAACUGGGGCGAAUACCGGAUAGGAGCUCCUGCUGCAUGGUGGGGGUUGGAAAGUUUCGGCGGUUGGGGCUGGAUUCGCGGCUUAUCAGCUGGUUGGUGGGGUAGUGGCUGACCAAGGCUGUGACGGCUAGCCGGCCUGAGAGGGUGACCGGCCACAUUGGGACUGAGAUACGGCCCAGACUCCUACGGGAGGCAGCAGUGGGGAACAUUGCACAAUGGGCGGAAGCCUGAUGCAGCAACGCCGCGUGCGGGAUGACGGCCUUCUGGUUGUAAACCGCUUUCGCCUGUGACGAAGCGUGAGUGACGGUAAUGGGUAAAGAAGCAACGGCUAACUACGUG